rnacentral:tRNA from 1 species
AAAAAGAUAAGCUAAGUAAGCUAGUGGGCUCAUACCCCAUUUAUGAGGGUCUAACUCCCUCUCUUUUUA